ACGGAAGGCAGCAGUGGGGAAUAUUGGGCAAUGGGGGAAACCCUGACCCAGCAACGCCGCGUGGAGGAAGAAGGUUUUCGGAUCGUAAACUCCUGUCCUAAGGGAAGAGCAGAAGACUGUACCUUAGGAGGAAGCCCCGGCUAACUACGUGCCAGCAGCCGCGGUAAUACGUAGGGGGCAAGCGUUGUCCGGAAUGAUUGGGCGUAAAGGGCGCGUAGGCGGCCCGGUAAGUCUGAAGUGAAAGUCCUGCUUUUAAGGUGGGAAUUGCUUUGGAUACUGUCGGGCUUGAGUGCAGGAGAGGUUAUUGGAAUUCCUAGUGUAGCGGUGAAAUGCGUAGAUAUUAGGAGGAACACCAGUGGCGAAGGCGGCUUACUGGACUGUAACUGACGUUGAGGCUCGAAAGCGUGGGGAGCAAACAGGAUUAGAUACCCUGGUA
rnacentral:rRNA from 1 species